UACAGAGGGUGCGAGCGUUAAUCGGAAUCACUGGGCAUAAAGCGCACGUAGGUGGCGGCGUAAGUCGGGUGUGAAAGUCAAGGGCUCAACCCUUGGAAGCCGGCCGAUACUGUCGGACUAGAGUCCGGAAGAGGCGAGUGGAAUUCCCGGUGUAGCGGUGAAAUGCGCAGAUAUCAGGAAGAACACCAAUGGCGAAGGCAGCUCUCUGGGACGGUACUGACGCUGAGACGCGAAAGCGUGGGGAGCGAACAGG
rnacentral:rRNA from 1 species